CUGUCAGACUCUGUCCAUUAGCCCUCAGAGAAGGUGGACCCGUAGCGGCUGGACUCCAAGCCAGGGGUGGGGCUGGAAAGGUGGCUUCUGUCCCUCUGGGAGCCACAGAAGUUAGCGGUGAAUUGAUGGAUGAGGAUCUGUGCCCAGCAAAUAACUAUUGCUCGGAACUCUUUGGUCCCAUGCAUGCGGCCGGACAGGGAGCACAGGGUCAGGACAGUCUCACUCACUGCUGGUGGCUGGGGACGCCAAAAGGAGGGGACCAUACAUGAGCAGGGGGUGCACCCUGGGGGAGGAGUAAGUCCUCUCCCAUCUUGGGCAGAUUUUGGUAACUUGUUUUUUGUUUUGAUUGUAGUUUUCAUAUUUUCUGGCGGAGGGCUAGUACAAUCAAUUCGUUUUGAAAUGCUGGUCUCCAAGGAGGGAUGUUUGCACUGUAAUUCGAGAGAACAAGCCAUUGCAUCCUACAUCCCAUCGGCCAAAUUCCACACCCAGCUUGUGCUGAUUUAUCUGCUUGAUUUCCGGAUUGUCCCUGCAUAAGGAUGCAGAGGAGCACAGAUGGUGGCAGAGUUCCUGAUAAUGAAACAACAGGUCAUCCCUUGGGCUCAGUGGCCUCCUUCAUCAUGUUACUGGCUGCAGUGGACUUAGGAAUGCGGUGAACACAGGGGAUAGAGAAUGACUCAGAACAGAAAUCUCUACGUCAGUGGGGAGCAGGCGUUUCAUCAGAGUAUCUGAUUGCUUGAAGAUGAUGAAGGAGGGUUUUGGGAUGCAGAAUUUUCUAAAUCCACCUGGAAGCCUGGGAAACUCUCCCUCCAGCCACAAGGCCCUGCCCCACACAUGCAGCAACCAAUCUGGAAAACCAGACUCCAACCUCUGCAGCAAUAGGACCUAAGGGUCAGGACUUGGUCAGUGACUCACAGCUUCGAAAUUUUCAGUCCUUUCCAUGUAGAACCAAAUGUGGGGAAGGCCAAAUAUGUUCCCCUAAGUAAUCACGUAAGACGCCCCUCUUCCUAUCAGCUUCUCUCAAGCCUCCCUGCAUCACAAGCUCUCGGGAGGACAUGGCUUCCUUUUUUUGCCACCACAAAGUGUCCCCACUCUUAUGUGUGCCCUGAGUCUCAGCCUGAUGUGAGUGGUGGUGGCUGACUCCCAUGCUCUAUAGACAAGUUCUGAGUAAAUAGUGCUUGUUCUCAUUUGGGUGUGUGUGUGUGUGUGUGUCUUUUUUCAUAUCUACAGAGCUUAGGAUGGCAGGAAGCAAAUAAAACUCAUGAUAAUGUUUCCCAUGUUAUUUUAAAAAUCACAUUUAUUAAUCACCAUUUUUUAAGUUGAGACAUAAUUCACAUACCAUAAAAUUCACCCUUUGAAAAGUGUAGAAUUAAGUGAUUUAUAAUCUAGUCACAAAAUUGUGCAACCAUCGGCACUAAUACCAGAACAUUUAAUCACCUCAAAAAGAAACCCCAUCCCCAUUAGUCUCUUCUAUUCCACCUAUGCUCAGGACGUGGCCACCACAAAUGUGCUUUCUGUCUCUACGGAUAUGCCUAUUCUCAAUAUUUCAUGUGACUGGAAUCAUACAAUAUGUGCCCUUUAUGUCUGGCUUCUUAUACUGAAUAUCAUGCUUUUGAGGCUCAUGUUUUGGAAUGUAUCAGUAAUGUACUCCUUCA